CGACGCCGAGUCAUCUUCCUCCCCCGCGCGAGCCUUCGUGCCCUAACCUCCUUCCCCGAUCCCGAGCGAUUUUUCUUUCCUCUUCCUCCUUCCUCGCGACGCCCAUCUCCACUGCCAGCACUGCCGACGCACGGAGCACUGCCACCGGCGACGCACGGAGCACUGCCGCACACCCCGGUGCCCUAGCAUCUCCGCCGACGCCACUGACUCCUCUCGGCCGUUUCUCUGUGCCGGCACCCGAACCCCAGCGCCGACCCCCUUUCCGCUGUGCCCUAGAUCUUUGCCGCAGGCCAUCGCGAGCCCUAAAUUUGCCGACCCAGCACCGCCAUUUCUUGACCUAGCCGGUCAUUGGAAAGCUUGCUGCCAUUGUCGACGAAGCCUCAGCCCUAGCACUGGUUGCCGUGAGCUCUAGCUGAGGUCGCAGAAUUCUGUCGAGCCGAGGGAAGAAUCCAGCAGAGAGGAGAUUCUGUUCCAUUCUGUUGAGAUCUGUGGAUUUGCUUGGUUCCAGCAUCAACAGUAGGUUGUUUGCUGUGGAAAGUUGCUGUUGUCGAUCACCACUUCCUCCUUCUUGAUCCGGUUGACUUGAGGACCUUGACGCGAGACGAGUUUCUCGACGUCCGGAUUUGGACGGAUUGGACCAUUUCUUUU